rnacentral:rRNA from 1 species
ACCAGNUCUUNGACAUCCUCUGACAAUCCUAGAGAUAGGACGUCCCCUUCGGGGGCAGAGUGACAGGUGGUGCAUGGUUGUCGUCAGCUCGUGUCGUGAGAUGUUGGGUUAAGUCCCGCAACGAGCGCAACCCUUGAUCUUAGUUGCCAGCAUUCAGUUGGGCACUCUAAGGUGACUGCCGGUGACAAACCGGAGGAAGGUGGGGAUGACGUCAAAUCAUCAUGNGCCUUAUGACCUGGGCUACACACGUGCUACAAUGGACAGAACAAAGGGCAGCGAAANCGCGAGGUUAAGCCAAUCCCACAAAUCUGUUCUCAGUUCGGAUCGCAGUCUGCAACUUUGGGGCGUAAAGCUGGAAUCNCUCCUCUUAAAAAAUCA